CGCCCCCUGAAAAAUUUUAAAGUAUAGGGGGUACUGCCUGCCCGGUGACAAUUGUGUUAAACGGCCGCGGUAUUUUUGACUGUGCGAAGGUAGCGUAAUCAUUUGCUCUUUAAUUGGGGGCUUGAAUGAAUGGCAAGACAGAAGCUGUGCUGUCUUUUCUUUAAUUCCUUGAAUUUGAUAUUGUUGUGAAGAAGCGACAAUACGGCCGUAGGACGAGAAGACCCUGUCGAGCUUUACUAAGAGCGAUUUUUUUUAGUUAGAUUUAAAGGGCUAAUUAUUUUUACACUGUAAAUAGUAGUGUAUUAGUUGGAAGUUACUCAGGUAAAUCUAUUGGGAAGUUGUUUUAUUGUUUGGUUGGGGCAACCGCGGAGAAGAUUAAUCCUCCGUUUUUGUUAAGAAAAAGCUUCGGCUUUGUUGAAUGAUAAUUUAUUUGAUAGGAUCCACUGUUUAAGUGAUUAAAGGAAUAAGUUACCGCAGGGAUAACAGCGUUAUUCUUUUGGAGAGUUCAUAUUGAUAAGGGAGUUUGCGACCUCGAUGUUGGAUCGGGAUAUCCUUGGGAUGUAGCAGUUCCUUAGGGUUGGUCUGUUCGACCAUUAAAAUCCU
rnacentral:rRNA from 1 species